GUACACGCUGUGACUAGCAUAUCAAUAAGCGGAGGAAAAGAAACUAACAAGGAUUCCCUUAGUAACGGCGAUGUGAAGCGGGAAGAGCUCAAAUUUGAAAUCUUGAAAGGUCACCUUUCACGAAUUGUAGUUUAAAGAAGUGUUUUCUGUUACGAUCGUAAUAUAAGUUCUUUGGAAUAGGACAUCACAGAGGGUGAGAAUCCCGUCUAUGAUUGCGAUUUGUAGCUUUGUGAUACACUUUCAAAGAGUCGGGUUGUUUGGGAAUGCAGCCCAAAACGGGAGGUAAAUUUCAUUCUAAAGGCUAAAUAUUGGCGAGAGACCGAUAGCGAACAAGUACCGUGAGGGAAAGAUGAAAAGAACUUUGAAAAGAGAGUUAAACAGUACGUGAAAUUGUCAAAAGGGAAGCAUUUGACACCAGUGUUGUUUUCUCGAAAAUCAAUUAAAAAUGGCUCGAUUUUGUAUUGCUUGAGACCUUAAAGGCUCACUGUACAUUUUUCGUGUCUUUUUUAAUGCACUUUUCGUUUAACAAGUCAACAUCAGUUUCUUUUGUUGUAAAAGGGUCAUUGGAAGGUGGCUUUCUUUUCGGAGAAAGUGUUUAUAGCCUUUGGCCUCUGCAAUCGGAGAGACUGAGGUCUGCAGCGUAGACUCUUCGGGGUUAGAUACAUUUGUGCUAAGUUAUAGCUUUUUAUAGACAACUUGUUGACUAUAAUUAGUCUUGUAGCUUACUCGCUUAUGCUAUUUUACCUACGCUUAGGAUGUUGAGUAGCGACAUACGCAC
rnacentral:rRNA from 1 species